rnacentral:rRNA from 1 species
GUGACGAAGCGACGCCGCGUGUGGGAAGAAGGCCUUCGGGUUGUAAACCACUGUCAGGAGUUAAGAAAUGUAAGGGUGCUAAUAGUAUCCUUACUUGACUAAGGCUCCAGAGGAAGCCACGGCUAACUCUGUGCCAGCAGCCGCGGUAAUACAGAGGUGGCAAGCGUUGUUCGGAAUUAUUGGGCGUAAAGAGCACGUAGGCGGUUCUGCAAGUCGGCUGUGAAAGCCUUCCGCUCAACGGAAGAACAGCAGUUGAUACUACGGGACUAGAGUGCGGGAGGGGAGAGUGGAACUUCUGGUGGAGCGGUGAAAUGCGUAGAUAUCAGAAGGAACGCCGGCGGCGAAAGCGACUCUCUGGCCCGUAACUGACGCUGAGUGUGCGAAAGCUAGGGGAGCAAACGGGAUUAGAUACCCCGGUAGUCCUAGCCGUAAACGAU